AUUGAACGCUGGCGGCAUGCUUACACAUGCAAGUCGAACGGUAACAGGGAGCUUGCUCCGCUGACGAGUGGCGAACGGGUGAGUAAUGCGUCGGAACGUGCCGAGUAGUGGGGGAUAACGCAUCGAAAGGUGUGCUAAUACCGCAUACGUACUGAGGUAGAAAGUGGGGGACCUUCGGGCCUCACGCUAUUCGAGCGGCCGACGUCUGAUUAGCUAGUUGGUGAGGGAAAGGCUCACCAAGGCGACGAUCAGUAGCGGGUCUGAGAGGAUGAUCCGCCACACUGGGACUGAGACACGGCCCAGACUCCUACGGGAGGCAGCAGUGGGGAAUUUUGGACAAUGGGCGCAAGCCUGAUCCAGCCAUGCCGCGUGUCUGAAGAAGGCCUUCGGGUUGUAAAGGACUUUUGUCCGGGAGCAAAUGCUGGUGGCUAACAUCCACCGGAGCUGAGAGUACCGGAAGAAUAAGCACCGGCUAACUACGUGCCAGCCGCCGCGGUAAAAC
rnacentral:rRNA from 1 species